GCUUAAAAUCCAAAGGACUUGACGGUGUCCCACCCACCUAGAGGAGCCUGUUCUUUAAUCGAUAAUCCUCGCUUUACCUUACCAUUUUUUGCUAUCCACAGCCUGUAUACCUCCGUCGCAAGCUUACCGUGUGAAUGACAUACAGCAAGCCCAAUGGUCCAACCACCAACACGUCAGGUCAAGGUGCAGUCCAUGAAAUGGAAAGCAAUGGGCUACAAUUUCUAAUCUAGAACAAACGAACUACCCCUUGAAACUAUGAGUAUGAAGGUGGAUUUAGUAGUAAACGGAAACAAUAGAGUUCCAUUUAAAAAGGCCCUGGGACGUGUACAAACCGCCCGUCACCCUCUUCAAUAGCACCAAAAAUUAUAUAAAAACCAAUAAGCACUAUAGAAGAGGCAAGUCGUAACAUGGUAAGCGUACUGGAAAGUGCGCUUGGAUUAACAAAAUGUAGCUUAACCAAAGCUUUUCGCUUACACCGAAAAGAUAUCUGUUAAACCCAGGUCAUUUUGAGCCAAAAAUCUA
rnacentral:rRNA from 1 species